rnacentral:lncRNA from 1 species
AAAGUUAAACAUAAACGACUUUAUAUAAGAAAACCGCAAAAAUCCUUAAACAAUAAAGAUAAUUAUCUAAAUUUAAAAUAAUCAAUAAAAUAAAAGAUAAUAUAUUUGAAUAUUUUCAAAUAUCUAUAUGCGUCAAUAAAUCUUCCUUUUAACCAUCGUAUUUUUGGGAUUGCAGUUAAGUCAUGAAAAUUACUUAUUCAUAAUCCUAAUGCGAAAAACACUCUAAAACAGAAAGGAAAUUAUGAAAAAUAUUCAUAUAACGUAAAGCACCAAAACUUAUAAAUUUAAACACUUAACAAUACUUACACUAACCUAACUAUGGCCACGUAUUGUUACUCUCCUCUUCGACCCAGAGCAUGUCUUCAGACUCCAACUCUGGUUACGUAUUUGACAACUUCUCUGCAUUUACCAGCAACUUGCACAUGUAUUCUGACCAUUUCACCCAAACUUCUUACUUUUCACUCUC